GACGAACGCUGGCGGCGUGCUUAACACAUGCAAGUCGAACGGAAAGGCCCUGCUUUUGUGGGGUGCUCGAGUGGCGAACGGGUGAGUAACACGUGAGUAACCUGCCCUUGACUUCGGGAUAACUUCAGGAAACUGGGGCUAAUACCGGAUAGGAGCUCCUGCUGCAUGGUGGGGGUUGGAAAGUUUCGGCGGUUGGGGAUGGACUCGCGGCUUAUCAGCUUGUUGGUGGGGUAGUGGCUUACCAAGGCUUUGACGGGUAGCCGGCCUGAGAGGGUGGCCGGCCACAUUGGGACUGAGAUACGGCCCAGACUCCUACGGGAGGCAGCAGUGGGGAAUAUUGCACAAUGGGCGGAAGCCUGAUGCAGCAACGCCGCGUGCGGGAUGACGGCCUUCGGGUUGUAAACCGCUUUCGCCUGUGACGAAGCGUGAGUGACGGUAAUGGGUAAAGAAGCACCGGCUAACUACGUG
rnacentral:rRNA from 1 species